rnacentral:rRNA from 1 species
AAGGAAUAUUGGACAAUGGAGGCAACUCUGAUCCAGCCAUGCCGCGUGAAGGAAUAAGGCCCUAUGGGUUGUAAACUUCUUUUAGACGGGACAAAACCCCUUUACGUGUAAAGGGUUGAUGGUACUGUCAGAAUAAGCAUCGGCUAACUUCGUGCCAGCAGCCGCGGUAAUACGAAGGAUGCAAGCGUUAUCCGGAAUUAUUGGGUUUAAAGGGUGCGUAGGUGGGCAGAUAAGUCAGUGGUGAAAUCUUCCGGCUUAACCGGGAAACUGCCGUUGAUACUAUUUGUCUUGAAUAUUGCGGAGGUAAGCGGAAUAUGUCAUGUAGCGGUGAAAUGCUUAGAUAUGACAUAGAACACCAAUUGCGAAGGCAGCUUACUACACAAUCAUUGACACUGAGGCACGAAAGCGUGGGUAGCGAAC